GACGAGGAUGAAGAGUGCUCGGUAUAUUCUGAGACCUCUUAUAUGAGAUGAAUCAGAAGAUUCAUCUAUUAGCAAAUAAAGCAAACUCUCUGAGUC